UACAGAGGGUGCGAGCGUUGUCCGGAAUCACUGGGCGUAAAGGGCGCGUAGGCGGCUUGGGAAGUCCGUGGUGAAAGCUCGAGGCUCAACUUCGAGUCGGCCAAGGAUACUCCUAAGCUCGAGUCGACUAGAGGCAGAUGGAAUUCCGGGUGUAGCGGUGGAAUGCGUAGAGAUCCGGAAGAACACCGGUGGCGAAGGCGGUCUGCUGGGGUCGAACUGACGCUGAGGCGCGACAGCGUGGGGAGCAAACAGG
rnacentral:rRNA from 1 species